UUGCUCAUGCCCCUUCCUGUCCGAGGCUGCUGCUGCUGCUGCUUGCUGCAGGCUUGAUCUCAGGAGCUUCUGUGGAGAUGGCCAGGCCCCUUUGUGCCUCUGGCUACUGCUAGCUACUGGAUUGUUCUUAGAGCUUUUGGGGCCUGCUACCCAGCC